rnacentral:rRNA from 1 species
UCGGGAGUAACAACCUGGAAACAAGAUGCUAAUACCGGAUAACAACAGAUGAUGCCUAUCAACUGUUUAAAAGAUGGUUCUGCUAUCACUCUUGGAUGGACCUGCGGUGCAUUAGCUAGUUGGUAGGGUAACGGCCUACCAAGGCGAUGAUGCAUAGCCGAGUUGAGAGACUGAUCGGCCACAUUGGGACUGAGACACGGCCCAAACUCCUACGGGAGGCAGCAGCA